AGAACGAACGCUGGCGGCAGGCUUAACACAUGCAAGUCGAACGCUCCGCAAGGAGAGUGGCAGACGGGUGAGUAACGCGUGGGAAUCUACCUAGUUCUACGGAACAACAGAGGGAAACUUCUGCUAAUACCGUAUACGCCCUAAGGGGGAAAGAUUUAUCGGAAUUAGAUGAGCCCGCGUAAGAUUAGCUAGUUGGUGGGGUAAUGGCCUACCAAGGCGACGAUCUUUAGCUGGUCUGAGAGGAUGAUCAGCCACACUGGGACUGAGACACGGCCCAGACUCCUACGGGAGGCAGCAGUGGGGAAUAUGGACAAUGGGCGAAAGCCUGAUCCAGCCAUGCCGCGUGAGUGAUGAAGGCCUUAGGGUUGUAAAGCUCUUCAGUAGGGAAGAUAAUGACGGUAACCUACAGAAAGAAGCCCCGGACUAACUUCGUGCCAGCAGCCGAC
rnacentral:rRNA from 1 species